rnacentral:tRNA from 1 species
GGGAUAUUAGCUCAGUUGGUUUAGAGCGCUUGCUUGACAGGCAAGAGGCCACAGGUUCGAAUCCUGUAUGUCCCACAA